rnacentral:rRNA from 1 species
UACGUAGGGUGCAGGCGUUAAUCGGAAUUACUGGGCGUAAAGCGUGCGCAGGCGGUCUGCUAAGAGAGAUGUGAAAUCCCCGGGCUUAACCUGGGAACUGCGUUUCUAACUGGCAGGCUUGAGUGUGGCAGAGGGGGGUGGAAUUCCACGUGUAGCAGUGAAAUGCGUAGAGAUCUGGAGGAACACCGAUGGCGAAGGCAGCCUUCUGGGCCAACACUGACGCUCAUGCACGAAAGCGUGGGGAGCAAACAGG